AACUGAUACUACCUGCGGGAACCUGCGGAGGGAUCAUUACUGAGGAGGGUCCAUGGCCCGAUCUCCAACCCUUUGAUAAAAACACCAUGUUGCUUUGGCAGGCCCGCCCGUUGGGGCCGCGGGGGAUCGCCGGUCCCUAGCCCGUGCCUGCCGGUAGCCUUCACAAAACUCUCAAAAUGUUGUCGUCUGAGAUGAUUAGAAUAAUAAAACUUUUAACAAUGGAUCUCUAGAUCGGAAGAG
rnacentral:misc_RNA from 1 species